rnacentral:rRNA from 1 species
AAGCCCCCCUCUAGCCCGCCCAUCUAAACAAUCAACCAACAAAAACCACCCCCACCACAUGAACCAAAACAUUCACCUCCCCAACCCAGUAUAGGCGAUAGAAAAGUCAAUCCGGCGCUAUAGAGAUAUGUACCGCAAGGGAAAGAUGAAAUAGCAAUGAAAACCAAAGCAACAAAUAGCAAAGCUAAACCCUUGUACCUUCUGCAUCAUGAUCUAGCAAGAACCACCAAGCAAAGCGGACUAAAGUUUGCCCCCCCGAAACCCAAGCGAGCUACUUACAAGCAGCUAUCUUUGAGCGCACCCGUCUCUGUUGCAAAAGAGUGGGAUGACUUGUCAGUAGAGGUGAAAAGCCAACCGAGCUGGGUGAUAGCUGGUUGCCUGUGAAACGAAUCUCAGUUCACCCUUGACUGCCCCACGGACAUUCCCAACCCCCAACGUAAGCAAGUCAAGAGCUAAUUAAAGGGGGUACAGCCCCUUUAAACAAGGACACAACCUCCCCCAGCGGAUAACCCCCACCAUCCCCCAACUGUGGGCCCUCAAGCAGCCACCAACAAAGAGUGCGUCAAAGCUCCCACCCCAAAAAAUAUGAAAACAUGAACGACUCCCUCCCCACCAACAGGCUAAUCUACACCAGUAGAAGAGCCAAUGCUAGAAUAAGUAACCAGGAUCAAAUCCUCUCGAGCGCAAACUUACAUCCAACUAUUAUUAACAAGCCCCAGAAUGCUCCAGCCCAACAAGACACAACAUUUUUUCCCCCAACUGUUACUCCCACCCAGGAGCGCCCACAAGAAAGAUUUAAACCUGCAGAAGGAAUUAGGCAAACCCAAGGCCCGACUGUUUACCAAAAACAUAGCCUUCAGCCGACCAAGUAUUGAAGGUGACGCCUGCCCAGUGACACACGUUCAACGGCCGCGGUAUCCUAACCGUGCAAAGGUAGCGCAAUCAAUUGUCCCAUAAAUCGAGACUUGUAUGAACGGCUAAACGAGGUCUUAACUGUCUCCUGCAGACAAUCAGUGAAAUUGAUCUCCCCGUGCAAAAGCGGGGAUACACACAUAAGACGAGAAGACCCUGUGGAACUUAAAAAUCAAGGGCCACCCCACAUAGCAUCCAACCCUACUUCACAGGCCCCCCCCCACACAAACCCUGGCCCACAUUUUUCGGUUGGGGCGACCUUGGAGAAAAACAGACCCUCCAAAAAUAAGACCUCCCCUCUUAACCAAGAGAGCCAUCUCAACGUGCUAAUAGCAACCAGACCCAGGCUACACCUGACCAAUGAACCAAGCUACCCCAGGGAUAACAGCGCAAUCUCCUCCAAGAGCCCAUAUCGACAAGGAGGUUUACGACCUCGAUGUUGGAUCAGGACACCCUAAUGGUGCAGCCGCUAUUAAGGGUUCGUUUGUUCAACGAUUAACAGUCCUACGUGAUCUGAGUUCAGACCGGAGCAAUCCAGGUCGGUUUCUAUCUAUGCUACCAUCUUACCCAGUACGAAAGGACCGGCAAGAUGAGGCCAAUGCCCACAGCACGCCUCCCCCCAAGUAAGGAACCCAACUAAACUACCAAAAGGACCCCCACACGCCCCCCCAAAAUAAGG